rnacentral:rRNA from 1 species
GACGAACGCUGGCGGCGUGCCUAAUACAUGCAAGUAGAACGCUGAAGAGAGGAGCUUGCUCUUCUUGGAUGAGUUGCGAACGGGUGAGUAACGCGUAGGUAACCUGCCUUGUAGCGGGGGAUAACUAUUGGAAACGAUAGCUAAUACCGCAUAACAAUGGAUGAUACAUGUCAUUUAUUUGAAAGGGGCAAUUGCUCCACUACAAGAUGGACCUGCGUUGUAUUAGCUAGUAGGUGAGGUAACGGCUCACCUAGGCGACGAUACAUAGCCGACCUGAGAGGGUGAUCGGCCACACUGGGACUGAGACACGGCCCAGACUCCUACGGGAGGCAGCAGUAGGGAAUCUUCGGCAAUGGGGGCAACCCUGACCGAGCAACGCCGCGUGAGUGAAGAAGGUUUUCGGAUCGUAAAGCUCUGUUGUAAGUCAAGAACGAGUGUGAGAGUGGAAAGUUCACACUGUGACGGUAGCUUACCAGAAAGGGACGGCUAACUACGUGCCAGCAGCCGCGGUAAUACGUAGGUCCCGAGCGUUGUCCGGAUUUAUUGGGCGUAAAGCGAGCGCAGGCGGUUUGAUAAGUCUGAAGUUAAAGGCUGUGGCUCAACCAUAGUUCGCUUUGGAAACUGUCAAACUUGAGUGCAGAAGGGGAGAGUGGAAUUCCAUGUGUAGCGGUGAAAUGCGUAGAUAUAUGGAGGAACACCGGUGGCGAAAGCGGCUCUCUGGUCUGUAACUGACGCUGAGGCUCGAAAGCGUGGGGAGCGAACAGG